CCCUGCUGCUCACUCACACAGAGCCUUUGCUUUAAAGGAAUUUGCCCUGGGGAAGAAGACAGCUGCUGCCCUGAUGAGGGAUUUUUCUGAGCAGGCCUCCCAAGCCAGACACGUCAGUGUGAGAUGCUGCCUACAUUUUUCAUCCUGACCAACAGGUUGUUAAACUACAAUCAAAAGCACUUAGUAGGAAUGGAACUGUCCCUGUCAUGAGAUUUGAACUCCUGACAUCUUUAUCCACUGAAACUUGAGUGCCCAGGACACAGCAGAGAGGGGAUUUUGGAAGCAUUUCACAAGGCUUGCAGCUGUGAGCUGGUUUCAGCAUGAGGAAAAGCCCUCCAUCACCCCAAUGCACAGGAAAGAGAAGG